UACACGCUGUCCCGUGCAGACUUCCCACUGAAGUCAUGACGAGGCUUUCCACAGAAGUUGUCGCAAGGCCGAAACUUCCCUCCCAAGGCUUUCCAUUUCGGGAAGUAGAAGAUGAUGAGGCUCCCCACUGGAGGCAGAAAUAUAACAAGUCCCGCGCAGGCGUACCCCAGCUCGGGCCGGGUUUAUCGUCUUCCUCUCCCCUGCUGCCGCCACCGUCAAUCACCACAAGAGUCAAGUUAAACUCAGCUACCACUGGCCUGUUGCUCAAAGAAAGCAACUACAGAGAGCAGAGCCGAGGAGGGAGUGGGGAUCCCUGCGAGGGGAGCUGAGCUGAGCUGAGCUGAGAGGGUUGCGGGCACUCGAAGGGUUCGCCUCCCGACUAGGGAGAAGAAGAAGAAGAAGACGAGAUCGAGAGAGAAAUUUAGAGUACAGGGACUUUUCUGAAAAACCUGCGCACGGGGACCGACGGGUAAACGAACGAGAGCAACGUACGUUGAAGCAAGGUGUAAAAGAAAGAGAGAUGAUGCCCAUCCUCUUAUGAAGAUUCCUCUUUCUUACUAAAGAAAGUAAUUGAAGCCACUGAGAAUUUCGAUCAGAGAUAUGAAAUUGGUAGAGGAGCUCAUAGGAUAGUUUACAAGGUAUCCCUUGACACAAGGAAAAUAUAUGUUGUAAAAAAGAUUGGUUUUUCAAGUCAGAAACGAUCAUAUCCGAGCUUGAUAAGAGAAAUCCAAAUUAUUAGGAAAAUCAAGUAUAGAAAUUUAAUGAAACUGAAUAAAUUAUUAUUUGAAUGUAAAUAUGAACUUUUAUUGGAUCAGUAUAUGACAAAUGACAAUCUCCACGAUGUUUUUCAUGAGAUUAAAUCUGCACUAGUCUUGGAUGGAAGGUGAGGUACAAGAUAGCUUUUGGCAUUGUCCAAGGGCUAGAUUAUCUUCACAACGGCUACAGCCCUACGAUCAUACACCGUGACAUAAAGUCGAAAAACAUAAAGGUACAAGAUAACUUUUGACAUUACCUAAGGGCUAGAUUCUCUUCACAACAGCUACAACCUUGCGAUCAUCCACACCCUUGGGCAAUGCUGUAGUCGUUGUGAAGAUAAUCUAGUCUUUGGGCAAUGUCAAAAGUUAUCUUGUACCUUUAUGUUUUUCGGCUUUAUGUCGCGGUGUAUGAUCGUAGGGCUGUAGCCGUUGUGAAGAUAAUCUAGCCCUUGGGCAAUGCCAAAAACUAUCUUGUACCUCACCUUCCACUACAAGAUUGGUGCAGGCUUAAUCUCAUGAAGAACAUCGUGAAGGCCGUCAUUUGUCAUAUACUGAUCCAAUAAAAGUCCAUAUUUAUAUUCAAAUUAUAAUUUAUUCAAUUUUAUUAAAUUUCUAUGCCUGAUUUUCCCAAUAGUUUGGAUUUCUCUUAUCAAUCUUGGAUAUGAUCGUUUCUGACUUGGAAAAGUAAUCUUUUUUAUAACAUAUAUUUUUUUUGAGUCAAGAGAUGUCUUGUAAAGUAUUCCAUGAGCUCCUCUAUCAAUUUCAAUUUCAUAUUUAGUAAUGUUUGUACAGGUAGAAUCUCCUGUCUAACAAGAGAUGCAGAGUCAAGGAUUUCCUAUAAAUGAACUUGGCAUUGAUUCUACAAACUUAAGCAAACCUCUUAGCAAUGAACUGCUAAAGCCAUUGUACAAAGCAUUGAUAAACGUAAAUGAACUGAGAUCAGCCAAGGGCAUCAAGCUUCUUGUUAGAUUGUUCAAAGAAAUAUCCAAGCUCUGUAGCAUAUUCAAAUUACUCAACUCAAAUGAAAGUUCUACUAGUCUAUUAUCACUGAAGUUUAAGGCUGUAUUAAAGUUUUGCAAUGAGCCCAAUGAUGGUGGGAUGCUAUAUCACAAUUUGU